ensembl:ncRNA R90.6 ncRNA
UUCACAUACACUUUCUCUCAAUCAAGCGACCCAUUGAAACCGACUGUCCGGAAAUUGUGUUA